CACGUAGGGUCGCAAGCGUUGUCCGGAAUUAUUGGGCGUAAAGAGCGUGUAGGCGGCCAGGUAGGUCUGCUGUGAAAACUCGAGGCUUAACCUCGAGCUGUCGGCGGAAACCAUCUGGCUAGAGUCCGGAAGAGGAGAAUGGGAUUCCCGGUGUAGCGGUGAAAUGCGCAGAUAUCGGGAAGAACACCCGUGGCGAAGGCGGUUCUCUGGGACGGUACUGACGCUGAGACGCGAAAGCGUGGGGAGCGAACAGG
rnacentral:rRNA from 1 species